ACGCAGACGUCCGGGUUUCGUGACAGGCGAGCCGUUCAUAAAACUUGGUUCGUUGUCGACGAAACCUGCACGAUCUGCAA
rfam:Atta cephalotes unplaced genomic scaffold scaffold00005, whole genome shotgun sequence.